rnacentral:rRNA from 1 species
AUUGAACGCUGGCGGCAGGCCUAACACAUGCAAGUCGAACGGUAACAGGAAGCAGCUUGCUGCUUCGCUGACGAGUGGCGGACGGGUGAGUAAUGUCUGGGAAACUGCCUGAUGGAGGGGGAUAACUACUGGAAACGGUAGCUAAUACCGCAUAACGUCGCAAGACCAAAGAGGGGGACCUUCGGGCCUCUUGCCAUCAGAUGUGCCCAGAUGGGAUUAGCUUGUUGGUGGGGUAACGGCUCACCAAGGCGACGAUCCCUAGCUGGUCUGAGAGGAUGACCAGCCACACUGGAACUGAGACACGGUCCAGACUCCUACGGGAGGCAGCAGUGGGGAAUAUUGCACAAUGGGCGCAAGCCUGAUGCAGCCAUGCCGCGUGUAAUGAAGAAGGCCUUCGGGUUGUAAAGUACUUUCAGCGGGGAGGAAGGUGUUGUGGUUAAUAACCGCAGCAAUUGACGUUACCCGCAGAAGAAGCACCGGCUAACUCCGUGCCAGCAGCUGC